CUAGAUGCCUGGAAGUCAGUCUUCCACUAGCAGCCUUUAGAUGAAGACAUAGAACUCUCAGCUCCUUCUGCACCAUGCCUGCCUGGAUGCUGCCAUGCACCUUGAUAAUGGACUGAACCUCUGAACCUUCCAGCUAAUCCAACGAUGGCUAGCUGUGAAUGGAAAGUCCAAGAAUCUAACAGUUGCCCAGUCCACAAAUCUGGAUGUCUCAGCUGAUCUUCUGUAAAUUCUGGAAUCCCAAAGAAGUGGGCUCUUAUGCCAGUGAAGGAAUGGAUGUGCUAGCAAG
rnacentral:lncRNA from 1 species